rnacentral:rRNA from 1 species
GACGAACGCUGGCGGCGUGCUUAACACAUGCAAGUCGAGCGGUAAGGCCCUUUCGGGGGUACACGAGCGGCGAACGGGUGAGUAACACGUGGGUGACCUGCCCUCAGCUCUGGGAUAAGCCUGGGAAACUGGGUCUAAUACUGGAUAUGACUCCACGGUGCAUGCCGUGGGGUGGAAAGCCUUGUGCGGCUGAGGAUGGGCCCGCGGCCUAUCAGCUUGUUGGUGGGGUGAUGGCCUACCAAGGCGACGACGGGUAGCCGGCCUGAGAGGGCGACCGGCCACACUGGGACUGAGACACGGCCCAGACUCCUACGGGAGGCAGCAGUGGGGAAUCUUGCGCAAUGGGCGAAAGCCUGACGCAGCGACGCCGCGUGA